CCCCCAAUGUAUCUCGGCCAUUUCCACCACUGGCUAGACUAGAUUGACUGAAAUGUUAAUCAAUAAUAAUGGCUUAUGGCUAAAAUGUCUACAGUUUUCUGUGACUAAAAUACUUACAGUUUUUUUGACUAAGUUAAGACUACAAUGCCCAGACAUUUAGUUUUUAUUAAAAAAAAAUAUAAAAAAAACAGGAUAUGGUUGACUAAAUAUUAUAAAAACUAAGGACUAAGAUUAAAUUUAAAAAUAGCUGAUAAAAUUAACAUUACUUGCACAUUUAGCCUUGAGUAUUACUGACCUGAGAAUUACAUGAAUUAAGGUGAUUCAGGCCUUUUGAAAUAAACGUUGCCUCCGCCCUGUACAUGUACAUGUUUGCAUGGUCUCCAUGGGCUUUGGGGGUUUUCUCUGGGUGCUUGAAUAACUGGUGACGUCAUCAGAACACACUGUUUGCUGGGAAGAUGUCAGGAAAAUUUUCGUCAGCAUGACGUUACUUUACGGCAACAUUGUGAGCAUGUCUUGGUAAAAGUUCGAUUUUUUGAUAAUCUUGGCUAACGGUCCAGAAACGUCGUGACCACGCCCUCAAAACGUGACCAACUAGUCCCAUGGAGAACAUUGUGAAGAGACAGAUAGCAAGCACAUUUGAGCCGAUUUCGGUAGAAAUGCACCACUCUCGACUCAAUGCAGGUAUUGGUGCAAAGGUAAUUGCCCAGAGCUCUGCUGACUGUUCACACCACUUCUGGCUGACAGACGGUUUUUUGUUACGUGGGCCAGUCUCGGCUGAAAGCAGGUGUAGUUGCGGCAGGUCCAUACUGCCAUACUGUCCGUACUCGGAGUAGCUGUGUGUAUCUACUUUCGGACCGAGUUCGUUAAGUCACAGCUAGAAUUAAGGAGCUCAGCCGCCUGGGGGAAAAAAAACAAGGAAAAAGUUUUGGCGGUUAAAUCAGUUAGGAUCCUCAAGGCUGCAGUUAUUCUUCGUUUUCAAAAGGAAUCAUUUCAGCUGAAGAAGAUGGCUAUAAAGAGGGCAGGAGGAAAGUCAAAGAGGGCAGGACCUGGUCAGACCUCCAGUCAGACUUGGAAGUGUCUGGGCAAAGACCACCAAGUGCUGUCAGACUUACGAGGAGCUCCCCAGCAAUCAUCAGAACCAGGUAGGGCCAACCGUGAUUUCCACUCAGCCAUCUUACUGGAAUUUGUCCAUGCUGAGGGAGGUGCUGACUAAAUUAGAGAUGGUACUGGACCAACAAACCACUGAGAUUGCUUUAUCUACAGGAGGUCCAGGUGCAGCCUUUGGAUAUUGAGGAAGGUUUACUGCCCCUGCAAGACCUUCCUCAACUGUGUAGUCUGGAGCAAAGGAUGCAAAAAAUGAGCCCAGAUUACGAGUAAAAACUGUUUUAGGUAAACUGGUCGGUGCUUAUUGACGGGCGGAUGUGCGUGACUGCACCUGGCACAUAUUGAAGAGGGUGACUGCCAAAUCCCUGGCAACAGCAAUUGGAGGGCCAUCAGUGGAAAGACUUCUCCAACUGAGAAGUCGUGAUCAGUAAGUAUAUCUGUUUACAUACAGAAUUAGCUGUCUCUCUCAGAUGAUAUGUAAGGGGUAAUCCACAGCUAGGUGUGCAUUAAAUAAUUGAAAUGCAUGAUGUUUAAGCAAAGAAGCACUUGUUCAAAUCAUUUAAUGCACACCUAGCCAUGGAUUACCCCAUUUAUACCAUGGCACCCUGGUAUCCAGAUAACUAUCAUUUUAUCUUUGAGAUGCUGUCACAAAUCGUGACGGAGCAGAGAUAGGACGGAUGCAAGUGCAGGGUGAACAGUUGUUUAUUUGAAAGAGAGACAGGCAGACAAAUCCAAAACGUGAUCCAAAACGUAAUCCAUAAACAUGCAAGAGGUCAGGCGAUUGGCAAACAGGCAUACACGGGGCAAGGCAGGAAUCUAGGUCGUGGUCACGGAAAACAGGGUCGAUAAACAAAACAAGAAACGAACUAUGACGAGGGACUAGAAGCGGAUAAUCCAGCGCGAACUAACUCUAAACAUGGACCGUGACUAUGACUAUGAUACGAGCUAAACUAACUCUAAACAUUUAAUCUUCCGCGUUGUGUGCUGGGAGGCGCGCGGUAUAUAUGCGGACAUGAUCAACGUCUAAACCGCUAGCAGCUGAGAGCAAAUCAGACCCACGUGAAAUCCCAGCCAAUGACAGAACAGGGAGGAGACAGAAACAUAAACAAAACACACGUAUCCAGAUGUCAUUACAGUCAACAAUGGAAAAGCAGGUGCUCGCGCAUUCGCGCUUAGAGCACGCUGCUUCAAGGAGGAAUCGUGACAGAUGCCAUUUGGAUAUAAUAUGUGAAACUGACUAAAUGUAUCAAACAUUUUACUCAAGUAGCCUAAAUGAAUCCACAUCUGAAUUUUAUUAUCGUUUAAUAUUCUUUGUCAUAUCAAUGGCAAUUAUCUGCCAGCAAAAAGGCAAUUUACAAUAAUUACCAAACAUUUUCCUUAGUAAAUGGUGAUUAUUCAUAAUAUUAUCUUUGUGAAUGAAAGAUUUUUAAAUGAAGGCACAAGAAUUCGCUUUGAAUUUUAAACUGUAUUUUUAUUUCUUUCAAACUUAAUUUCAUAGCUAAUUAAGUGCCCUGUUUUGUUCAUUUGUG
ensembl:lncRNA